UUACGGCCAUGUCACGUUUAAGCGUUACUUCCCGUACGAUUACCGAAGUUAAGCAACGUUGAGUCUGUUCAGUAACAAGAUGGGUGACCGGUUGGCAAAACGCGGUGCUGUCA